GCCAGAUAAGGGAAGCAGGCCUCCGAAGCCAGCAGUGGCAACCCACUUGGGUCCCUUUCAAUGCUGUGGAAGCGUUGUUCUUUCACUCUUCUCAAUAAAUCUUGCUGCUGCUCACUCUUUGGGUCUGCCCCGCUGUUAUGAGCUGUAACACUCACAGCCAGUGUCUGCAGUUUCACUCCUGAAGCCAGCAAGACCACAAACCCACAGGGCGGGACAAACAACUCCGGACAGGAGGAAUGAACAACUCUGGACGCGCCACUUCUAUGAACUUUUAUGAACUGUAACACUCACCGCAAAGGUCUGCAGCUUCACCCCUGAGGCCAGGGAGACCACGAACCCACCGGAAGGAAUGAACAACUCCAGACGCACUGCCUUUAAGAGCUGUAACACUUACCACGGAUGUCUGCAGCUUCACUCCUGAAGUCAGCGAGACCACAAACCCAACAGAAGGAAGAAACUCCCGACACAUCUGAACAUCUGAAGGAACAAACUCUGGACACACCAUCUUUAAGAACUGUAACACUCACCGUGAGGGUCAACCGCUUCAUUCUUGAAGUCAGCCAGACCAAGAACCCACCAAUUCCGAGUCUCACUUUGUUGCCUAAGCUAGAGUGCAGCGUCGUGAUCAAGGCUCACUGCAGCCUCAACAUCCUGAUCCCCAGUGUUCCUCCCACCUCAACCUCCCAAGUAGCUGGGACCACAGGGUUUCAUCAUUUUUGGCCAUGCUGGCCUUGAACGCCUAACCUCAAAUGAUCCACCUGCCUUGGCCUCCUGAAGUUCUGGGAGUUAUAGGCAUGAGUCACCAUGCCUGGCACCACAUAAAAUUAUUUUGUCAUUAACAUUACAUUUUAAAAUACAAACGCUGUUUUCCAUAUUACUCAGGUCAGAUCUUUUACCCCACUUCUCUCAGUGAGAUUGCAUUAUUUAUUUCCAUCUCUAUAAUCUACUGUUCAUCCAUCUAUCUAUCCAUCCCUCAAUUUAGUUUUUUCACUACAUUCUGCAUUUGAUUCUUUUGAGGGUGUAUGCUUGUGUUUGUGCGUGGAAGUGGGGGUGUGUGUGUGUGUGUGUGUUCAAAAAGGUCUACAGUUUCCUUUUUCUGUAAUAUCUGUGUCUGCUGUUGGUAUUAGGGUAAUGCUGAACUCAUAGAGUAUGUGAAAAGUUUUCUACAUUCUUUGAUUUUUCUGAAAGAAAUUGUGCAGAAUUCAUAUUAUUUCUUUCUUAAAUGCUCAAGUGUUUAUUAAAAUUUACCAGUAAAA
rnacentral:lncRNA from 1 species